AGGCUACAUCUGUCCAGUCUCUUUUUGAGGUCAGAAUUUGCUUUUUAUUUCAGAGCUGAUAAGCUGGAGAAUGUGACUGUGGCAGCACAGACCUAGGGCACCAGAGGGCAGACUCUACAGAGACCUGGGAGGACGCUUUAUGGAUUGUGAUGGAACCAUAAGGGAGACCAUAAUAGCUCUCAUUUUAUGUAUUAAGCCAUAUUUGCACAACAAUUCCAUUAUAAUACAAAGAUAAUCUUAAGAAGUAAUUUUAAAACAGCAAAUCUAUAAAUGCUGAGUCUCAAGUAAAAGAAAAUAAUUUUCCUAAGCCAAAUGUCUUUUGUAAGAGAUUUCAAUGGUCAUUUGAUUCUGUUUUAAAGAUAAUUUGACCUUAUGAUACACCCAUUUCUUAAAUGCAUGUCUCCAAUAUAAUUGUUUUCAUUUGGAGUUGAAGUUAAAAAAAAAUAGCUAAAUAA
rnacentral:lncRNA from 1 species